GGUUGAUCCUGCCAGUAGUCAUAUGCUUGUCUCAAAGAUUAAGCCAUGCAUGUCUCAGUACAAGCCAUAUUAAGGUGAAACCGCGAAAGGCUCAUUAAAUCAGUUAUGGUUCCUUAGAUCGUACCCACAUUUACUUGGAUAACUGUGGUAAUUCUAGAGCUAAUACAUGCAAACAGAGCUCCGACCGGAAACGGAAGGAGUGCUUUUAUUAGAUCAAAACCAAUCGGCGGCAAUUUUGCAUACCACUUAAUUGUUCGUCGCACUUUUUGGUGACUCUGAAUAACUUUUGGCUGAUCGCACGGUCUCGCACCGGCGACGCAUCUUUCAAAUGUCUGCCUUAUCAACUGUCGAUGGUAGGUUCUGCGCCUACCAUGGUUGUAACGGGUAACGGGGAAUUAGGGUUCGAUUCCGGAGAGGGAGCCUGAGAAACGGCUACCACAUCCAAGGAAGGCAGCAGGCGCGCAAAUUACCCACUCCCGGCACGGGGAGGUAGUG
rnacentral:rRNA from 1 species